rnacentral:tRNA from 1 species
UCUCUGGUAGUCCAGUGGUUAAGAUUCUGAGCUCCCAAUUCAGGGAACUCGGGUUUGAUCCCUGGUUGGGGAA